CUUCCAUUGAGCCCUCCCCGGCUCGCUUCAGUCGUCCCUCUGUUGGCUCGGUUCAGACACGCCUGCACACUGGGAGCGCUGCUGGGAUUCCUCGCCGGGCUGCUGCCUAAAGCUAAAGGACAACGACAGAAAGACAAAAAACAUGAGGAUGGUGAGAUGUGCAACCAUGGCAACGAGCACCUUACUUUCUGAAGAUGAAAAAUUUAUUUCACUACAGACUCCAGCGAGCCCAAAGGCAUCUAUCUCAAUAAAUCCAAAGCUUCGCAGCAGGCCCAAGAGAAGAGAAACGCUCUGUAAAGGUGGGCAGCUGGCACCAGGUGAUUAUUGUCAACUCAGCCUCUCAUUCAAACACCACUGAGUGAAUUUUCAAGAUAUUUCUGCCAUGUGCUUGUAGCAUCAUCACCUGACAGCAGGCCUGCCCGACUCGUCUUUUACGUGUCCUUCUGGUGAAAUUUGUGCCAAUACUCCAGGUAGAAAACAAAAGGCACACCUGUAUGCGUGGCGAAGCGUGUCCCCACCCUGCCAGCAGCUCAACACCAGGCGGAGGAGUGUCUGAAAAAGCUUCAAACUGAGGCUUUGUCUUCUCGCCUCGCUGCCCCACAGGCGUGACACUCGGAUCACAAAGAAUGUCUGAGAGGACUCUUUACAAAUUCUGCUUCUUCGUAAUAAAUGCGGCGGAAUAUUAAAGAUCGUCUGGGUGACUUUUACAGUCGACUUCAAGGAGACCGUGGAUAGAAGAAAUCAAAGAAAGCAGCCAUCUCCACGACAUGUUUUGCAAAAAUCCUUCACAUUUCAAUCGACCAUAGAGCAGGUUGCAAACUGCCUGCAAUCCUGUUUACACAUAUAGUCAUCUUAUUCAUCAUAUUAAAGGCUCAGACAGUUUGGGAGUGUAAGCGUUGCAACAGCGUCCCAUAAAUCAACUCAUCAACAAGCAGGUCAGCAUGAGAACGUGCACGAUGGUCUGUCUAGCUACAGUCAAAGUGUGAUCAGGAGGUCUUAAAUCUAAUUCUAUAGAAAUCUGUGCAAAGAAAAGUGAGAAAAGCCCACAGUCAGGAGAGACGAUCCAAGAAGAAGCCUUUAAAAAAGUAGCAAUGAAAUGAAACAGGCUGUGAAUAA